AUCCUUCGGGGUGUUGUGGCGCUGACGAGUGGCGGACGGGUGAGUAAUACUUGGGAAUCUGCCCUGUAGUGGGGGACAACCCGGGGAAACUCGGGCUAAUACCGCAUACGUCCUACGGGAGAAAGGGGGCCUCUGCUUGCAUGCUCUCGCUAUUGGAUGAGCCCAAGUCGGAUUAGCUUGUUGGUGGGGUAACGGCCUACCAAGGCGACGAUCCGUAGCUGGUCUGAGAGGACGAUCAGCCACACUGGGACUGAGACACGGCCCAGACUCCUACGGGAGGCAGCAGUGGGGAAUAUUGGACAAUGGGGGCAACCCUGAUCCAGCAAUGCCGCGUGUGUGAAGAAGGCCUGCGGGUUGUAAAGCACUUUCAGUAGAGAAGAAAAGCCUGGAGUUAAUACCUCCGGGUCUUGACGUAACCUACAGAAGAAGCACCGGCUAACUCCGUGCCAGCAGCCGCGGUAAUACGGAGGGUGCGAGCGUUAAUCGGAAUUACUGGGCGUAAAGCGCACGUAGGCGGCUGGGUCAGUCGGAUGUGAAAGCCCCGGGCUUAACCUGGGAACUGCAUUCGAUACUGCCCAGCUAGAGUAUGGGAGAGGGAAGCGGAAUUUCCGGUGUAGCGGUGAAAUGCGUAGAUAUCGGAAGGAACACCAGUUGCGAAGGCGGCUUCCUGGACCAAUACUGACGCUGAGGUGCGAAAGCGUGGGGAGCGAACAGGAUUAGAUACCCUGGUAGUCCACGCCGUAAACGAUGAGAACUAGAUGUUGGGAGGAUCUGCCUCUCAGUGUCGCAGCUAAC
rnacentral:rRNA from 1 species